rnacentral:rRNA from 1 species
GAUUAACGCUGGCGGCGUGCAUAACACAUGCAAGUCGAACGAUGAAACUUUACUGACUUCUUCGGAAUGAUUUAAAGCGGAUUAGUGGCGAACGGGUGAGUAACGCGUGAGUAACCUGCCUUACACAAGGGGAUAGCCUCUGGAAACGGAGAAUAAUACCCUAUGAAACCAGACAAUCGCAUGAUAAUCUGGUCAAAAUGUUUAGUGGUGUAAGAUGGACUUGCGUCUGAUUAGCUAGUUGGUGAGAUAAAAGCUCACCAAGGCAACGAUCAGUAGCCGGCUCGAGAGAGUGUACGGCCACAUUGGGACUGAGACACGGCCCAGACUCCUACGGGAGGCAGCAGUGGGGAAUUUUGCACAAUGGGGGAAACCCUGAUGCAGCGACGCCGCGUGAUUUAGAGGGCCUUCGGGUUGUAAAAAUCUUUUGUAUAGGAAGAAAAUGACAGUACUAUACGAAUAAGGUCCGGCUAAUUACGUG